ensembl:lncRNA
AGUCAGUGCUGUAGUGCUUCUGUAGUAGAGUUAAAAUGGUUAUUCCAUCAAACUUCAAAUGAUUAGAAUAGUACACAACGCAGAACAGAACAACCAGGUUGAGGGUCAGUGGCCAAAGCCCGCAAACAGGAAUAUUCCAAGUUCAGACAGAAGUUUAGACAGUCAGAUCGCUAUGAUCGCCAGGAACUUUACUUUUGGUGUCUAUUUUUAAAUGUUGCGCUACUGGUGCUGCCUGCUGAUGUUAGAUAGGCAGCUACAGUAGCUGAAUGAUGUUAACAUCUUCGGGUUUUGUUUCAUUAAAUGUAUUUUAUUUCAUCUGGGUGCUUGCAUCACCUACUAACACCUGGUACUACCCGUAGCCCCCGUUCUCCUCAGUCCGAGAAAACACUGAGAAAGAACAACUUGUCAGAUGGUGCAUUGGAGACUGAUGUGUUCCUGUCCUCUUUUCACAAUACUAUUGCAGGGAGAAGAUUCAGGCCUGCACUCUCAAGAUUCAUCAAAGGAAUGUACUUUUCCCCACUGAACCUCUAACACAUUCAAAAACGGCAGGUUGUAUCUAAUGAAGUCCGGGACAUCGUCGUUGACCAUGUGGUAAGAGGCUGACAGAUUAGUUCACACCAAUCUGAAAAGAUCAACUGUCAAUUCGAUCAUGAGAAAAUUUCGCCAAGAAAACUGAAUUGACAGGAGAACACAUGGUGGUGGCCGUGUGCUGACCGACCAGCAGGACUGGACAGUGGUGGAAAUGGUGAGGGCCAGGAAUGACAUACGGCUGUCCAAAAUAAAAGGAUGAUGGCGCUUGAUGCUGCUGUGAACCAUCACAAGUAUAUCUUUGUUGAUGAAGUGGGCUUCAACCUGGCCAAAACUCGGCACCUUGGGCGGAUCCUCAUCGGCCAACGGGCGACUGUCCAAGUGCCUGUAAAACGUGGGGGAAACAUCUCUAUGCGCGCAGCCUUCUCUGAAGAUGGUGUGGUAGGCCAUUACUUGGACCAUACAAUGCUGCACACCUCAUUGUGUUUCUCAAUAAAAUUGAGCAGGCAGGCAAGGUGAAGGGGUCACCUAUGUCAUUGUGCUCGACAAUGUCAGGUUACACCAUGCUGAAUUGGUUCAGGCUGUUGGGCCCAUCCCCGAUUCAUGACCCUAUACCAGCCCGCAUACUCUCCUUUCCUCAAACCUAUUGAGUAUUUUGUUUUAGUAUGGAGGUGGAAGGUGUACGAUCGACAUCCCCGUGAGCAUGCCACCCUCCUUCUGGCCAUGGAUGAGACAUGCAACGAUAUUAAUGCAGACCAAUGUCAGGCUUGGAUUCGCCAUACAAGAAGGUUUUUCCCACGGUGCAUGAACAAUGACAUUCACUGUGAUAUGGAUGAGAAUUUAUGGCCAAAUGCUCACAGUCUUAAUGCAAAUUAAUGCGUGCUAAACGUUAUGUUUUAUUUUCAUUCAUUUGUUUCAUCAAAUUUCUUACAUUUGAUUACAUGCAGUACACCUAUGUUGCAAUUGUGCGUGAAUGAUUCUAGAGGAUGUCUAUGUUGAUCACAUAUUGGAUAGAUAUGGAAGGGAUAGAUUUUCUGUCAAUUUUGUUGGGUAAUGUACACUACCGUUCAAAGGUUUGGGGUCACUUAGAAAUGUCCUUUUUUUUUAAAGAAAAGCUAAUUUUUUCCCAUUAAAAUAACAUAUUGAUCCGAAAUACAGUGUAGACAUUUUUAAUGUUGUAAAUGAC